rnacentral:rRNA from 1 species
UACGUAGGGGACGAGCGUUGUCCGGAAUUAUUGGGCGUAAAGAGCGUGUAGGCGGCUCUGCAAGUCCUGCGUGAAAUCUCGAGGCUCAACCUCGAGCGGUCGUGGGAAACUGGAGGGCUAGAGUGCGGGAGAGGGAAGUGGAAUUCCUGGUGUAGCGGUGGAAUGCGCAGAUAUCAGGAGGAACACCUAUAGCGAAGGCAGCUUGCUGGGACGUUACUGACGCUAAGGCGCGAAAGCGUGGGGAGCGAACAGG